rnacentral:rRNA from 1 species
GACGAACGCUGGCGGCGUGCUUAACACAUGCAAGUCGAACGGUAAGGCCCUUCGGGGUACACGAGUGGCGAGCGGGUGAGUAACGCGUGAGUAACCUGCCCUUCACUCUGGGAUAACAGUUGGAAACGGCUGCUAAUACCGGAUAUUCAGCUCCUGUCGCAUGGUGGGGGUUGGAAAGUUUUGGUGGUGGAGGAUGGGCUCGCGUCCUAUCAGCUUGUUGGUGGGGUGAUGGCCUACCAAGGCGUCGACGGGUAGCCGGCCUGAGAGGGCGACCGGCCACAUUGGGACUGAGAUACGGCCCAAACUCCUACGGGAGGCAGCAGUGGGGAAUAUUGCACAAUGGGCGGAAGCCUGAUGCAGCAACGCCGCGUGCGGGAUGACGGCCUUCGGGUUGUAAACCGCUUUCAGCAGGGACGAAGCGCAAGUGACGGUACCUGCAGAAGAAGCACCGGCUAACUACGUG